rnacentral:tRNA from 1 species
GCGUAUGAAGGAAAGUUUAUGGAUGUGAAUGAAGAGCCUGUUUGUGGGGCGUUUANUUCGCCUUCCAAGCGAAAGACCUGGGUUCGAUUCCCAGCGAAUGCA